rnacentral:rRNA from 1 species
UACGUAGGGGGCAAGCGUUGUCCGGAUUCAUUGGGCGUAAAGAGCGUGUAGGCGGCCUGGAAGGUCAGCUGUGAAAACUCGAGGCUCAACCUCGAGACGUCGGUUGAAACCACCUGGCUAGAGUCCGGAAGAGGAGUGUGGAAUUCCCGGUGUAGCGGUGGAAUGCGCAGAUAUCAGGAGGAACACCGAUGGCGAAGGCAGAUCUCUGGGCCGUAACUGACGCUGAGGAGCGGAAAGCAUGGGGAGCGAACAGG